rnacentral:rRNA from 1 species
UACGGGGGGAGCAAGCGUUGUUCGGAUUUACUGGGCGUAAAGGGCGCGUAGGCGGUCAGCACAAGUCAGUUGUGAAAUCUCCGGGCUUAACUCGGAAAGGUCAACUGAUACUGUGCGACUAGAGUGCGGAAGGGGCAACUGGAAUUCUCGGUGUAGCGGUGAAAUGCGUAGAUAUCGAGGGGAACACCUGCGGCGAAGGCGGGUUGCUGGGCCGACACUGACGCUGAUGCGCGAAAGCCAGGGGAGCGAACGGGG